CUGAAGUUUGGAUCCAAAUUUUGGAUCUAAACACAGCCUUAUAUGAAUUUUUUUUUGUAAUUAGUAUUUUCAUUGUUGUUAGAUGAUAAAACAAGAUUAAUACUUUAUGCGUGACUUAUUCUUUUAAUUUUUUUCAUAAUUUUUUUAAAUAAGACGGACAUUCAAACGUUAGACACGGAAACCAGAGUUUAUA
rnacentral:pre_miRNA from 1 species